AAUCGACCUGAUGUUCUGGAUCCAGCACUUCUUCGUCCCGGUCGUUUAGACAGGAAGAUAGAGAUUCCAUUGCCAAAUGAGCAGUCUAGAAUGGAAAUCCUCAAAAUCCAUGCUGCUGGCAUUGCCAAACAUGGCGAGAUAGAUUACGAAGCAGUUGUAAAACUUGCUGAAGGAUUCAAUGGAGCUGAUCUUCGGAAUGUCUGCACAGAAGCUGGG
rnacentral:misc_RNA from 1 species